GCGCCGGUAGUCUAGUGGUAGGAUGCCGGCCUCCCAAGCCGGUGGCGCGGGUUCGAGUCCCGCCCGGCGCACCA
rnacentral:tRNA from 1 species